UACGGAGGAUGCGAGCGUUAUCCGGAUUUAUUGGGUUUAAAGGGUGCGCAGGCGGCGUGUCAAGCAAGCGGUAAAAUAGCGGGGCUCAACCCCGUCGAGCCGUUUGAACUGGCGCGCUUGAGUUCAGGCGAGGUAGGCGGAAUUCGUGGUGUAGCGGUGAAAUGCGUAGAUAUCAGGAGGAACACCGGCGGCGAAGGCGGCCUGCUGGACCGCGACUGACGUUGAGGCUCGAAAGCGUGGGGAGCGAACAGG
rnacentral:rRNA from 1 species